GGUUUUGCGAGACUUUUCUGUGCGCUGGUCUUCGGUGAAAUACCGAUACAUCGGAGGGAAUGCGUCAUUACUGUUACAAAAGCGCACAGCUGUGAUACUUCCAGUUGAAGCAAAGUCUUUGCAAAAAGUAAACUGGCGGGAUAUUAUUCCCUUAAUUCAUCGAGCAGAAGGUUUUCUUAUUGGAAUAGGGAUUUCGUUUCUAAUCACAAAGAGCACUGUUGAAUAGUGUAAAUUCAUUUUAUUUGUUUAAAAAGGCCGACUUGCACUUUGAUCAUAAAACACGGAACUUUGGCCAGCUUAUUCAAAAAGUUACACUGACAAAUUCAUACUAAAGAACACAAGUUUAUAUACACGCACGAACAAGUGUGAAGAUUUUUAUUCAUAAUUCCAAGGCAUAAAAGGAAAACAUUCCUGAAUUUAGCAUUCAAACUGCCUUGGAAUGCAGAGUGAGACAAUUCAAGGUUUUCUACACACGGUUAUUUAACGAGAACAGAUAUCCCACUUUCACGGAUUGUGAUUUUCCUCGUUAACAUUUCUUUUCGCUCCCCUCCCGUCCGCCCACAACCCUCUACCCACACGCACACAGUUAGUAAAUUCAGGGCAAGUUUGUCCAUUCGAAGCUUGGCUUCAGAGAAUUUCAGAAACGAACGUUUAUUCAAAAGCAAGGGACAAAAAAAAGUUUACGGAGAAAACGGCACGCAACUGGUAUGUGCAACUCAAUAAAUUGCUACUGCGUGUUUCUUGUAGCUUCCCAUCCCCCUCCUUUAAGUCUCAUGGGUGGAUACAACAUUGACAGGAAGCGAGAGGAGAAAAAUGACGAAGGCUUUAUUGAAUUUUUUUGCUACAUCUUGAUAGCUUUAAACUAUUUCAAAUGCAAAUUAUAUGUGGAUCAUAAACCCUGGUCCGGAUCUGGCUGAAUUAAAGCAAAUUUAGUCUUCGCAGUAGGGGGAUUUUGCCCCUUUUAAGCCUGCAGGGUUACAGACAGACACUGCUGCCAAACUAGCUACAAUUCGGCGCAACGAGAAAACCCUUUCCUCUUUGCAACAUUGGGAACUUAAGAGGAUGAAACCAUCAGUGUAUACAAGUCCAGUUGUUCCAAUCUUUCAACAUAUGUCAGUCCCAUCAUCCCGGGAAUCAACCUCGUGAACCUACGCUGCACUCCUUCAAUAGCAAGAAUGUCCUUCCUCAAAUUUGGAGACCAAAACUGAACACAAUACUCCAGAGUAACUUCUGCUAAAAUUGGGAAUGGGCUAAAAUGAACAGAAAUGUUCUACACCAUCAACCCCAUCGCCAACCCUAGAGAGAAAUGAACAGAAGAACCUUUGAAGUGAGUGCUGAUUUGUCCUUGCUGAGUUCCAUCAGUUUUCAGUCUCUGUAUUUUGGGACAGACAGUCAUUUAUAUUUUUCAAUCUCUUUGAUGGCAUGUAUUACACACCAGGAAUCUUAACAUGACACUAUUUUUAAAAAAAUUCUAUCAUCAUGGAUUUCAUCAUAAUAAAACCUGUGCUGGGGUCCUGGUGGAGUCUGUGAUCUACAGCAGCACUCAAACUGUGGUUCUGCACAGCGGCGGGGUUCCCGCUUCUGGAACCCAUCAAGCAGCCUGGUGUUUUCAGUUUCUCCAGGAGCAGCCUCGAAGACGUGCGAUUUCGGACGGCCCCCGCGGACAACUGCAUUACUUGCCAGUGUCACUGACUGGAAUGCUGCAGAGAUCAGAACAUCAAGACAGCGCGUGUGGCUGCCUGAGACCUCUGUACUCGGGCAAUUGAUCUCACUCUCUCUCUCUCGAUAUGGGGGGGAAGAGUCAGAUGAGCUCGAAUAAGCGCCGCUUCAGGUUGUGACAUUUCCCUCUCACUGUGGACACUUCCGUCCCUUGUUGGAUUGGGCUCAUGGUGGAACAGUGUUAUUGCCUUGUAGGAGGCGUGGUGAACUCUGGCGUGAUCCACUGUGGUCUGUGGUGAGCAUACUUCUCCACAAUGCCAUGAGGACAAGAAUGUGGUGUGAGAACCAGCAAGGAACUUGCAGCCACAUUACAACCUCUCAAUCAAGAAGGCACACAAGAAAUUUAAUCACUAGCUACAUUGUAAACUUCUAAAACCUAAGAGAUGAAGAUCUGAAUAGAAAAAAAUGGCACCAAAGAAUAAAACCAAGCAGACAGAGUUACUGUUAUCAAAAAAAUAAAAUCAAACCCAAGUACAACAGGGGCUACAUUUGUUGUUCAAUGGAAAUGAUAGCAGGUAUUUUGGUCCUGGAGAAUUACUUUCUUCUCUAUUGAAACAAAUCAUCAUAAAUUGAAAAGGAAUGUUGUUGUGCUAAUUCAAGUGGGAUAGGUUAGUCUGGUUUUAUGAUCAUUAGGAGUGCAAUGAUCUUGAAAGAGUUCAGAGUAAUUCAGGUCAAUUCAACAAAUAACUGUUUGAAAAAGUAAUUUGUUCUCAUGAGGUGGUGUUUCCUACAGCAGCAAUGCAUUUGGGAUGAGAUGCAAGUUUCAGUCUUGUUGAUUUCUGACAGUCUGUUAUUAGGAAAUUGAAAGCAGAGAUCAUGUUCUUCUAAUGGGAGGAAACAGACUGCUAUUUUCUUCCACCAAAGUCGUGGUACUUCAAAGAGCCAAAAGGUGCCUCUCCUUCUUUUGAGUUGCUUUAAUCGCAAAAAAUACUUGGGUACCCCUCAGUAAAAAGAAUUUAGAGAUGAAGAUAUGAUGAAUUGUCUUUGGCUCAAAACAUUAACUAUUUCUCUCUUCUCAGAUUCUACCUUACUUCCAAAAUAUUUACAGCAUUUUGUCCUUUUAUUACCUAUUUCUGGCAUCAACAGUUGCUAUGGUGAAUGAACCGUCUUUAUCCCAUGAUUGGAAUUAAGGAGUAGAGAGCACAGGUUUAUGAUUUAUUAGGAACUUGAGGUGGUUGUAUAUGGAAUGAGAUGCCUGAGGAAGCAGUUGAGGCAGGUACAAUUGAGUUGAGUUCAGCUCCAUCGUGGGCACUAGCUUCCAUAGUAUCCAAGACAACUUCAUGGAGUGGUCCCUCUAAAAGGGGAAGUCCAUCAUUAAGGACGCUCACCACACAGGGCAUACCCUCUUCUCAUUGUACCUCUAUCAGGAAGGAAGUAUAGAAGCCUGAAGGCACACACUCAAUGAUUUAGGAACAGCUUCUUUCCCUCUGCCAACUGAUUUCUGAAUGGACAUGAAACCCAUGAACACUGCCUCACUACUUUUUAAAAACUUCUGUUUUUGCACUACUUAUUUAACUAUUUAAUAUGCAUAUACUUACUGUAAUUAAUUUGCUUCUAUAUUUAUCAUAUAUUGCAUUGACUGCUGCCACAAAGUUACCAAAAUUCACAACAUAUGCUGGUGAUAUUAAACGAUUCUGAUUAACAACAUUUAAAAGGUACUUUAACAUGCAAAUAGGUAGGAAAGGUAGCAUUAUGGACCAAAUGUGGGCCCAUAGGACUUGCUCAGUUGGGAAUCUUGGCCAGCAUGGACUUGUUGGCCUGAAGGACAGUUUUCAUGCUGUAUAGCAGUACUUAGUUUAAAAAUUGGCAGUACAGUGACCCAGGAGUGAUAGCAAAAAGCUUGGUCAAGGAAGUAGUUUGAUUAUCUCGCACAGUGUCAGAAGUUCAAUAGCAGUAUUCCAGAACUAAGCAGCCAAAUCAAGAUAACAAAAAAAAACAACAGUAAUUAGAUUUAUGGACAGAGAGGUAGAACUGGUUUAGCAUUAACAGAACUGACCAGGACUUGGACAUGAGGUAUGGAAGAUCUAUAGAAGAAAGAAAUGCCAAUUACUCCAAGUAUGUAGGGAGGUUUCAUUUGGCAAGGCCUUAAAACCAGCUGAGACUUUAUAAAGCAUUGGUCAGUUUGCACUUGGAGUAUUGUGGGAGUUUUGGGCCUCUUACCUAAGAAAAGAUGUACUGGGAUUAGAGAGGGUACAGAGAUUUACGAGAAUGAUUCUGGGAAUGAAAGAGUUAAUGUAUGAGGAGUGUUUGGUGGCUCUGGGCGAUCCCGUGAAACCUGGUGAAUACUGAAUGGCCUACAUGGGGAGGGUGUUUCCGAUAGAGGGGAAGUCGAGGACCAGAGGGCACAGUCAAAGAGCAGAGGUACGUCAAUUUAGAACAGAGAUGAGGAAGAAUUUCUUGAGGCGAAUCUCUGGGAAUUCAUUGCCACAAACAGCUGUGAAGAUCAAAUCACUGGACAUAUUUAAAGUGGAGGUUGAUAGGUUCUUCAUUUGUCAGGGCAUUAAAGCUUAUUGGGAGAAGGCAGGAGAAUGGAGUUGAGGCAGAUAAAAAAUCAACUGUGAUUGAAGGGCAGUGCAGGCUCGAUGUGGGAAUGGCGAGUUCUGCUCCACUGCCUUAUGGUUUUAUAGCCAACAGAAUGGACUGACUUGUUAUCAUUACAUGCCGCAGGUGCCAGCAUUCUUCAAUCACAGGUUAUUUGUCAACUAACACGAGUGAAUCUGCAGAUGCUGGAAAUAAAUAAAAACACAAAAUGCUGGCAGAACUCAGCAGGCCAAACAGCAUCUGUGGGAGGAGGUAGUGACGAUGUUUUGGGCCAAAACCCUUCAUCAGAAGUGAAGUAACAUGGGAUGGUCGAGGGGAAGGAAAUAGGGGGAGGGAUAAAGUAGAGAGCUGGGAAGUGAUAGGCUGGAGGGAAAUGGGCUAGGGGGGAAGGUGGAGAAUUAUGGGAAAUAAAAGAGAAAGAAAGGUAGGGCUAGGGGGAGAUAAUAGUGAGGGGGGAGAAAAGAGAGAGAAAGAGAACCAGACUAAAAUUAUAGAUAGGGAUGGGGGUAAGGGGGGACAGGGGUAUCAACGGAGGUCUGUGAGUUGGAUGUUCAUGCCGGUAGGUAGGAGGCUACCUGGGCGGGAGAUAAGGUAUUGCUCCAUCGACCCGCGCGUGGCCUCAUCUUGACGGUAGAGGAGGCCAUAGACAGACAUGUCGGAGUGGGAGUGAUCUGUGGAAUUGAAGCGUGCGGCCACAGGGAGAUCCCGCCACUGCUGGAGGACUGAGCGCCAGUGUUCGGCGAAACGGUCUCCCAGUCUGCGGCGGGUCUCCCCAAUGUAUAAAUGGCCACAUCGGAAGCACCGGAUACAGUAUAUCACCCCAGUUGACUCGCAGGUGAAGUGGUGCCUCACCUGAAAGGCCUGGGAUGGUGGUGAGGGAAGAAGUGUGGGGGCAGGUGUAGCACUUCUUCCAUUUGCAGGGAUGAGUGCCCAGAGGAAGGUCGGUGGGAAGGAAUGGGGGGGGGGGGGGGAGGAUGAAUGGACAAGGGAGUUGCAUAGGGAGCGAUCCCUGUGGAAAGUCGAGAGUGGUGGGGGGAGGGGAAGAUGUGGCUGGUGGUGGGAUCACAUAGGAGGUGGCGGAAGUUUGUCAACUACUUAUCUCUGCCUUGGAGAAAAGUGAAAUAAUAUAUACGAAUAAAGGGCAGGAUUUUCUGAUUUUCUUCUUGUCAGUUACUAAAACUAAAAUUGGCUCCCCACACCACCGCUCCCCAUUUAUAAAUUUAUACCUGUCCUUUGAACUAAUAAACAGAAAUCAUAUACCAUAUACCCAGAGCAGGAAAAUAAAAUACAAAACUUGCAAUAAGUUUAUCAAUUGCUGGAACACCAGUAUAUGGUUUAAAUAUUCUCUUUAUUCAAAGUUUAGUUACAAGGGCUUCCUCCAGUUGUUUUAUAGGUAAAUGUGACAAUGGGUUACCUUGCAGCCUCAGGGCAAGAGGGGCAGAAAGAAGUGAAACUUAAGGGUGCGCCAUUUUAGCAGGAUUCCACAUAAGUGAAAGUUAAUGCCUGUAGCGAGCACGAACACAUCCUUCUCACAGCCAAUGCGCCGUUGCAGAACCAGGGCAACUACAGAAUUUGUGUGGUUUUCUGGCAAGCUACAAUUAUUAGCCAUAUUGUGUUUCAAAGUCUAAAUUAAAUUCCAACAGAUAAAAAUAGAAUCUGCUUCCAGCAGCCAAAUCUUUCUCCAAUACAACAUUUAGCACAAUAAUAAACAUAAUCAAAAUCACUGUAACAGCAAGAUUAAAUGUUCUGUUCAAAUGGGACAAAGAGCAACAGCCUGUUUAUACAAAACAUGUAAAGUCAAGGUGAUGCUUCACAACAUAAUUCUUCAUCAGUGCUGCAUCUAAUUGCUUAAACAUCACAACUGCUUUCUGAGAGAAUGUUGAUUUAUCUAUAUUCAAUUUGGUACAAUUAUUUCAAUUCAAAAGUAGAAAAGCAGUGACAGGGAUACUGGGUUGAAAACACUAACUUAUUACUGAAGGGAAAAUAUGGUAGAAAUUAUAGCCACACACACAAAAUGCUGAAGGAACUCAGCAAGCCAGGCAGCGUCUAUGGAAAAACCUGCAGUCAGCGGUUCAGGCCGAAACCCUUUGGCAGGACUGGAGGUAAAAGCCGAGGAGUAGAUUUAAAAGGUGGGGGGGGGGGGGAGGAAGAGAGAAUCACUAGGUGAAAGGUGAAACCUGGAAGGGGAGGGAUAAAGUAGAGAGCUGGGUAGUUGUUUGGUGAGAUGAGGUGAGAGAGGGAAAAGGGGAUGGGUAAUGAAGGUGGGGGUGGGUUGGGGGGCAUUACCAGAUGUUUGAGAAAUUGAUGUUCAUGCCAUCAGGUUGGAGGCAACCCAAAAGGAAUAUAAGGUGUGUUCCUCCAACCAAAGUGUGGCCUCGUCACGACAGUGGAGGAGGCCACGGAUGGAAUAGGAAUGGGAACUGGAAUUAAAAUGGUUGGCCAGUGGGAGAUCCCACUUGUUCUGGUGGAAAAAGUAUAGAUGCUCAGUGAAGUGGACUCCCAAUAUUUGUCAGUUCCCACCAAUGUACAGGAGGCCACACUGGGAGCACAGAACAUAGUAAGUGACCCCAACAGACUCACAGGUGAAGAGUCGCCUCACCUGGAAGGAUUUUUAUCACCUGGUGGUUCUCUCUCCCCUCCCACAACUUUUAAAUCCAGUUCUCAUCUGUUUUUCUCCCAUCCUGCCAAAGGGUUUCGGCCUGAAAAGUUGACUGUACUAUUCUCCAUAGAUGCUGUCUGGCCUACUGAGUUCCUCCAGCAUUUUGUGUGUGUUGCUCGGAUUUCCAGCAUCUGCUGAUUUUCUCUUGUUUGUGGUAGAAAUUACAUUUAGCUUUCAGGGCAGAAGUUGGUCAGUGUGUUACUAAUGGCCUGUUGAUCAGGUGAGAUUCCUGGGGUGGGCUUCUUUUGCAGAGUGUUUAACUAUAAACCAGCACCAAAUGGUUUUAGAUGCUCUUCAUCAGAGUAGGGGAUUGGAUGGAGUAACUGGUGAAGUUUUAGCAGGAGGUUCUUUCCAGUUUGAUGGGCAUUGACUUCUGGGGUGGGGAAGAGUCUGCCUUGUUGAGCAGUCUGUGCUGAAGUGGAAACUGUAAGGAAAUACCUCAGAAGUGACAACAAACAAUCUAUCAAUGGUUUGAGCAUCACCUGUAGCAGGAAAAGACCUGAUUUAGGGUUUUGAUCUGAAACAUCGACAAUUCCUUCCUCCCUCACAGAUGCUACUUGACCUGUUGAUUGCCUCCAGCAAGUUGUUUGAUGCUUCAGAUUCUAUCAUCUGCAGUCUUUUGUGUGUUCCCCGUAGAGGGACAAACAAAUUGAGAUCUGUACAGAGUGGUUUCCUUCAAACUGGGCAACUAAAAGUCCAGCAGCACCAGGAAAAUCUGGUUAUCCGAGUGACUCUGACAGCAAUGGCUGAUUGAGCACUAUGGGAGAAAUGACGUAAAUGUGUGGUCACCUAACACAGAUCUGUACAACUGUGAUUCACACCAGAAGUAACCAGCCAACUAUCCGGUGCUCUGUCAUCUGGAAAACCGUGUGAUUAAUCCAUGAGACAUCGCUUUUCAUUCUUUUCAACGAAUUAUUUUUCCUCAUAGAUUGUGCACUGUUGUAUGACCUCAGUUUUGUUAAUAACUCCAUGCUGCCAAAGAAGAGUACCACAUGCAGAAGCUGCAGUCACCAUUAUAUAGAAAUUCCUCCCGAACAAAUCAAUGAAAACUAUUAUAAAGGCUGCGAUACCCUUAAGAACAAACAUGAAUAAAAUCUGCAGAUGCUGGAAAUCUAAGUAACACACAAAAAAUUUUGGAGGAACUCAGCAGGCCAGGCAGCAUCAAUGGAAAAGAGUACAAUCGACGUUUCGGGCUAAGACCUUCAGCAGGACAUACACUUAAGAACAUCAUCUCUGCAAUGGUAAAUUGCUUGAGCAUGAAAAAUGUUCUUAUUCCACAUAAAACUAAAUUUACUCUCACCUGCAAUGCAGUGCCUGGCGUUAACUAGCAUAAAAAUUUGAGCUAUUAAAGACAAGUGCCAAGUGUUUGAGAACGCUAUGAUCUGCCUCAGCUUGAAUGAUAUUGCAUGCAUACUCGAUAACGAGCUGAGAAAAAAAACACGUUUGUUUAAAAGUACCCUCUGAAAUAAUGUUUUAAAAGUUUAAGAGUUAAAGGAAGACAAGGCUAUAAAUCUCUAACUUAGCUAUUCAGGACCAAACCAAUAAUUGCACACAAUGAAUGUGAUUAAUGGGUAGCACUAUUCUUGGUUUCCAGUUUACAGCUGUUAAACAUCGCAUGCUAACACACAGUGGCGCCAUAUUUAUCUCCAGGUCUUGUAACUAUAAUCAUUCACUACACGGAUACCUGUAAUGAUAAUAACCUGGGAAGUUGCAGCACACAUAAAUUCAACAGGGGCCUAGCAGCCUAUACAACUCUUUUAUCCUGAGGCAUUAUUCAUUUGACUGUGGAAAAACACCAAGAUUCUUAACUUCCACAGAAGAAGAUUGUCUAAGUUCAGCAUAAAAGCUCAAGGUGGUGGGAAUUCUGGUUUAAAGUUGGGAAUAUAGAAGAAAAGGGCCACUGGGAAGAACUGGGUAACUGUGAGGGGAAUUGCACUGAGGUGAAGGUUACCUAAUGGGGAAACCCAGGGCUUGAUGUUUCCAGUCUGUAUAACAUCUUGGAACCAGAAAAGCUGUCAAAAUUACCAUAUUUGUACCUUAAACUAGAAUAGGCAGUCAGCUGUAAUGGGAAAGCUUGCUCACUUCAUCAUGACUGUCAACUGGAUGAAGUACCAAAUAUAACUUCAACAUGGAAAACUAUUCGUCGAAAGGGGCUUAAACAGCCAGGAACUUUAAAAAGUGCAAAGACAGAGGUACGUUGAGUAUGGGAACUUGCCCUACCAACCAUCAAGCAUCUGUUUAACUAAUCCUACAUUCCAACACCGAUACUGUGGUGAUGUCACCUGGCUAAUCUUUAAUUUAAGAGGACUGCAUAAACAGAAAUGUAUAUGUGGUGAACUAUGUGCCUGUCGGGACACGCCCCUGCUGACUGCUCCUUUGGCUCCUCCCACAGGCCCCUGUAUAAAGGAGACCUGCGGCCUGACGCUCGGCCUCAGUCUCCAAGACCUUGUAUGAUAGACACUCACUCCUGGUUCCUUCUUCCAGUCAAUAAAAGCCGAUAUCUCGCUUACGUCUCAGUGUGAGUUAUUGAUGGUGCAUCAGUAUACAAACAUCGGAACUGUAGAGGCUGAAGUGAAACAACUGACUUAAUUUAUUUUUAGAGAUAUAAAUGUCAGUAAGCAGUAGCUUACUUCUGCAAAUUGAAUCAGGACAGAUGGUGAAAAGACAUGUUUAGCCCAAUAAUAGAUGGCGCUUUGACUGUUCUGAAAGGAAAGGAGGAUGUACAAAGGGGAAAUUUUUAACUAACCUGAAGUAAUUUAUGAAAUUAAAAAUAAAUCAGCCAUGAUUGAAGUCCUAAUGAUCAAUUAGGGCUGAAUGGCCUAAUUCUGAUACUAUGUUUUAUGGAAAUAAAAGGUAAAGAGAUUAAGGGAAUGGAGUUCCAAGAAUGGACCACAGAACAAGAACAGGCUGUUUGGUCCACAGUGUUUAUCAAGUAAAUCAAAUGCUCACCUAAAUGUCUUCUUCCUACAUCUUUCCAUUAUUUAAUGUUUACUAUCUUUCCAUUUCCUACACAUUCAUAUGCCUACUUAACAGCACCACUACCAGCCCCCCAGUUCAUUUCAUGCACCCGCUACUCUGUAUAUUAAAAAAAAAUCUCCUUUGAAUUUACCCCUUCUCUUCGUAAAUCCAUGUUUCCUCUCUAUUUAAGGUACAACCUGUUCUUCUUAUACAGGUCACCUGUGCCCCAGAAGAGGUUCCAAUAAUCCAAGAGUCUGAAACCCUGCCCACUGCACUAGUUCCUGAAUCACAAUUCAUCUGCCCUAUCUUUCUAUUCCUAUCCUGACUGGCACAUUGAAAUUGAAAUAUCUUUAUUGUCAUUGCAUGGUACAAUUUGCCAUGCACCAAUACAGCGAAAAUGAGUUUGCAACUCUCGUACUCAAUGCUAUUGAACAACAAAUAAAAUAAAUAAACAAGAAAUAAUAUCAAGUAUCCAGCCAGUACAAGCAAUGUCCAGCAGUACAAAAGCACAACUCAGAUGCAUGACAGCCAUAAAAUCAGUAUUAAAAGUAGCAAUAUAACAAAUUUAUGGAUGAUGCUUGAUCGAUUGGUUCAGAGCAAUCAUAGCUCUGGGGAAAAAGCUAUUUUUCAGUCUGGAAGUGCGGGCAUAGAAAAUCUUGUAACGACUGCCAGAUGGAAGAAGUUCAAACAGAUGAUUGCAUGGGUGUGUAUUGUCCGUACAAAUGCUUGUAGCUUUCCUUAGGCAGCGUGAGCUGUAGGAGUCCUCCAGGGCAGGGAGUUGUGUCCCGAUGAUCUUCUGUGCACUAGAGACAACUCGCUGAAGUGCUUUCCUAUCAGCUGCUGUACAACUGAGAUACCACACAGAGAUGCGGUAUGUUAAGAUGCUCUCUAUGGUGCAGUGGUAAAAGGUCACCAGCAUCUGUUCAGGUAGACCAGCUUUCUUCAGCAUCCUGAAGAAAAACAAAUGUUGCUGUCCUUUCUUAACUACUGUUGUGGUGUUAGUGGACCGUGUAAGGCCUUCUGUGCUGCAAAUAAACCAAAGAUUACUAGCUUUGAAAACUUGCAUUUCAGCCUCUUUCUUAAUUCCUUAUACUUACUGGGUAGGACCUCUUUCCUCUUUCUACCUAUGUUAUGAAGAGUGUUUGAUGGCUCUGGGCCUGUACUCACUGGAUUUCAGAAGAAUGAUGGGGGAUCUCAUUGAAAUCUAUCGAAUACUGAAAGGCCUUGAUAGAGUGGACGUGUAGUGGAUGUUUCCUAUGGUGAGGAAGUCUAAAGCCAGAGGACACAGCCUCAGAAUGGAGGGAUGUCCAUUUAGAACGGAGAUGAGGGGAAUUUCUUCAGCCAGAGUGGUGAAUCUGGGGAAUUCAUUGCCACAGGCGGCUGUGGAGGCCAAAUCAUUGGAUACAUUUAAGGCAAAAGUUGAUCAAUUCUUGAUUAAUCAAGACAUAAGGGAUUAUGUGGAGAAGGCAGGAGUUUGGGGCUCAGAGGGAAAUGAAUCAGCCAUUAUGAAAUGGCGGAACAGACUCAAUGGACCAAAUGGCCUAAUUCUGCUCCCAGACCUUAUGGUCUUAUGGCUAUUGUUGGCAAUGUGCACCACAACCAUUGUCUGCUUACCGCCCCCCUUUAGAAAGUUCUACAUACAGGUCUCCCUUCCAGACUUGUAUCCAAAGACAUCAAGAUGACCAUAAAACAGUCUGCAGUGACCAUAACACAUGAAACUUUAACUGAGCAACUGGGAAGAAUAUCGGCAUAGCUGAUUCUAGAAUCAUGAAGAGAAGCAGAUUGAGAGACUAAAACAGAAAUAAGAAAAGAAAUAACGAUAUUAGCAAAUAAUGACGUAGAACAGCAAUGGGAGCUAUUUAAAAUGGUGUUCCAUGGGCCCAAGAAGAGUACAUUUCACUGUCCAAGAACAGCCAAAACACUAAAAGGACAUCAUGAAUCAAUUAAGACAGAAACUUUUGAGGACAGGGAAGCAGCCAUACGCCUUUAAAGCUCUCCUUUAACACAAGUGGUAAGAAUAAACUUAGCAUUUCUAGAUCCGCUGAUGCACUGCAGGAGGAUGAAAUAAUGUUGUCACAAGGGUGGGCCAAAAUUAACUGUGCCCACAAAAGA